rnacentral:rRNA from 1 species
GUGAGGAAUAUUGGUCAAUGGGCGGAAGCCUGAACCAGCCAAGUCGCGUGAAGGAAGAAGGAUCUAUGGUUUGUAAACUUCUUUUGAAGGGGGAUAAAGUGCGUCACGAGUGGUGCAUUGCAGGUACCCUUGGAAUAAGCAUCGGCUAACUCCGUGCCAGCAGCCGCGGUAAUACGGAGGAUGCGAGCGUUAUCCGGAUUUAUUGGGUUUAAAGGGUGCGUAGGUGGCUUUUUAAGUCAGCGGUGAAAACUGGCGGCUCAACCGCAAGAGUGCCGUUGAAACUGGGGAGCUAGAGUAUGAACGAGGUAGGCGGAAUGUGUGGUGUAGCGGUGAAAUGCAUAGAUAUCACGCAGAACUCCGAUAGCGAAGGCAGCUUACCAGGCCAUAACAGACACUGAAGCACGAAAGCGUGGGGAUCGAACAGGAUUAGAUACCCCUGUAGUCC